rnacentral:tRNA from 1 species
UAGCUCUGAGGUAGAGCACAGGAUUUGCAUUCCUAAGGCCUCAGGUUCAAUCCAUGA